CGGAAGUUGGCCUCCCGCAACCUAUUUCGCACCUCGGCACCGGACGGGCUCCGAGCGGCCCUUCGGGGGACCGCAGCGCUGCCGUGUUCGGCCCGGGGGGUGCGGGUGGGUGCUUGAGUUGAACUGUGAUUGUCAUCCCCUCAUGGGACAACUGGGAAGGCAUCACUGGAGAAGGAGAACCAAAGGCAGACUUUUGGAGAACGGUGAAAGGAGAAGCUUUGAGUAUCUUGAGAGGAAUUGUGCUGGUGAUUUCUGCAGGCUUACAAAUAUCUGUUAUCUGUAGCCCAUGUCACAAGCAAUUGCAGCCAUCUUAGGACUCGACUUCCCACCAUCAAGGAUCUGUUGCAAAAUGUGAAAAUGAAAGGGGGAAAGUCUACAGGUAGCACUGAUCCCAGCCAACCUUUGUAUCGCGUGUGUUUGCCUGGUAAGCUUGCAUUUCACAUCACACGUGGAUAAACACAGCUCAAGGCCCAAACAGGUGACUGGCCCACGAGAAAGGACUUGUGGCAGCUUGGGAACACACUUACACUGCCUCUUCCUUCUGUACAUAGCAAGAAGAAACUUGUUUGUGAGCAACUGCUCUGCAGCUGUAACCAGGUCUCCCUGCUUUCUGUGAAUGCUGCUUUCUUGUCUCCUGCUGUCAAAUACAGCACUGAGGGGUGGUGUGGGCACUCUGCUGGCCAGCUGCCCCUACCAAGGUGAGUGCCUCUCUAUUAAACUGAUGGAUAUUAA